ensembl:snoRNA small nucleolar RNA, C/D box 38A
CUUCUGAUGAUGAUAACUUUGUCCAGUUCUGCUACUGAAUGGAGAGCAAUGACAACCUGUGACGCUGAAGAAG